UACAGAGGGGGCAAGCGUUGUUCGGAAUUACUGGGCGUAAAGGGCGCGUAGGCGGCCUGUUAAGUCGAACGUGAAAUCCCCGGGCUCAACCCGGGAACUGCGUCCGAUACUGGCAGGCUUGAAUCCGGGAGAGGGAUGCGGAAUUCCAGGUGUAGCGGUGAAAUGCGUAGAUAUCGGGAGGAACACCUGCGGUGUAGACGGCUUUCUGGACCAUUGCUGACGCUGAGACACGAAAGCGUGGGGAGCAAACAGG
rnacentral:rRNA from 1 species